UUACGGCCACAUCACGUCGAAACGCCGUUUCCCGUACAAUCACAAAAGUUAAGCAACGUCGAGCCUGGUCAGUACCUAUAUGGGUGACCACUUCGGAAUAUCAGAUGCAGUA